rnacentral:rRNA from 1 species
AACGUAGGUGGCGAGCGUUAUCCGGAUUUACUGGGCGUAAAGGGUGUGCAGGCGGGCUGUUAAGUGGUGCAUGAAAUCUCCGCGCUUAACGUGGAGAGGCUGUGCCAGACUGGCAGUCUAGAGUACGAGAGAGGGUUGUGGAAUUCCGGGUGUAGUGGUGAAAUGCGUAGAGAUCCGGAGGAACCCCAGAGGCGAAGGCGGCCUCCUGGCUCGCCCCUGACGCUCAGACACGACAGCAUGGGGAGCGAACGGG